ACAGGUGGGUGGGUAGAGCAUACCUAGGGGCGCGUGAUAACUCUCUCUAAGGAACUCGGCAAAAUGGCCCUGUAACUUCGGGAUAAGGGGUGCCUGCGUGAGCAGGCCGCAGUGAAAUGGCUCUGGCGACUGUUUACCAAAAACACAGGUCUCUGCUAAGUCGUAAGACGAUGUAUAGGGGCUGACUCCUGCCCAGUGCCGGAAGGUUAAGGAAGUUGGUUAGCGCAAGCGAAGCUGGCGACCGAAGCCCCGGUGGACGGCGGCCGUAACCAUAACGGUCCUAAGGUAGCGAAAUUCCUUGUCGGGUAAGUUCCGACCCGCACGAAAGGAGUAACGAUCAGAACGCUGUCUCGGAGAGAGACACGGCGAAAUAGGAUUGUCCGUGAAGAUACGGACUACCUGCACCCGGACAGAAAGACCCUAUGAAGCUUUACUGUAACUUGGAAUUGUGUUCGGACUUUGUCUGCGCAGAAUAGGUGGGAGGCUAUGAAACGUUCCUCGCGGGGAACUGGAGCCAUCGUUGAGAUACCACUCUGGCAGAGUCUGGAUUCUAACCUACGGGGACAGUUCCAGGUGGGCAGUUUGACUGGGGCGGUCGCCUCCUAAAAUGUAACGGAGGCGCGCAAAGGUUCCCUCAGGCUGGUUGGAAAUCAGCCAUAGAGUGUAAAAGCAUAAGGGAGCUUGACUGUGAGACCUACAAGUCGAGCAGGGACGAAAGUCGGCUUUAGUGAUCCGACGGCACUGAGUGGAAGGGCCGUCGCUCAACGGAUAAAAGUUACUCUAGGAUAACAGGCUGAUCUCCCCCAAGAGUUCACAUCGACGGGGAGGUUUGGCACCUCGAUGUCGGCUCGUCGCAACCUGGGGCGGUAGUACGUCCCAAGGGUUGGGCUGUUCGCCCAUUAAAGCGGCACGUGAGCUGGGUUCAGAACGUCGUGAGACAGUUCGGUCCAUAUCUGGUGUAGGCGUAGGAGCAUUGAAAGGAUCUCUCCUUAGUACGAGAGGACCGGGAGGGACGUACCUCUGGUGUACCUGUUAUCGUGCCAACGGUAAACGCAGGGUAGCCAUGUACGGAGUGGAUAACCGCUGAAAGCAUCUAAGUGGGAAGCCCACCUUAAGAUGAGUGCUCCCUUGAGGCCACGGGAAGACGACCCGUUUGAUAGGCGCUAGGUGGAAGUGCAGUAAUGCAUGCAGCCGAGGCGUACUAAUAGGCCGAUGGCUUG
rnacentral:rRNA from 1 species